rnacentral:rRNA from 1 species
UACGAAGGGGGCGAGCGUUGUUCGGAAUUACUGGGCGUAAAGGGCGCGCAGGCGGCCGUGGAAGUCAGAUGUGAAAGCCCCGGGCUCAACCUGGGAAUAGCAUUUGAUACUCCGGGGCUGGAGUACGGGAGAGGAGAGUGGAAUUCCCAGUGUAGAGGUGAAAUUCGUAGAUAUUGGGAAGAACACCGGUGGCGAAGGCGGCUCUCUGGACCGUAACUGACGCUGAGGCGCGAAAGCGUGGGGAGCAAACAGG